rnacentral:pre_miRNA from 1 species
UGAGGUAUUUUUGUAAGCGCCAUUAUAAAAUUUGGCACUGUGGUGCUUACGAAAAUACCUUGGC